CGGUAAGGCCCCUUCGGGGGUACACGAGCAGCGAACGGGUGAGUAACGCGUGGGUAAUCUACCUAGAGGUGGGGGAUAGCCUCGGGAAACCGGGGGUAAUACCGCAUGAGUCCUUUCCAACAUAAGUUGGAUUGGGGAAAGGCGGGGAUCUUAGGACCUGUCGCCACUAGAUGAGCCCGCGUCCGAUUAGCUUGUUGGUGGGGUAAUGGCCUACCAAGGCAUCGAUCGGUAGCCGGCCUGAGAGGGUGAACGGCCACAUUGGGACUGAGACACGGCCCAGACUCCUACGGGAGGCAGCAGUGGGGAAUUUUGGGCAAUGGGGGAAACCCUGACCCAGCGACGCCGCGUGGAGGAUGAAGGCCUUC
rnacentral:rRNA from 1 species